rnacentral:rRNA from 1 species
AUUGAACGCUGGCGGCAGGCCUAACACAUGCAAGUCGAUCGAGCGGCGGACGGGUGAGUAAUGUCUGGGAAACUGCCUGAUGGAGGGGGAUAACUACUGGAAACGGUAGCUAAUCCCGCAUACCAUCAGAUGACCCCAUAUGGGAUUAGCUUGUAGGUGUGGUAACGGCUCACCUAGGCGACGAUCCCUAGCUGGUCUGAGAGGAUGACCAGCCACACUGGGCCUGAGCAACGGGCCAGACUCCUACGGGAGGCAGCAGUGGUGAAUAUUGCACAAUGGGCGCAAGCCUGAUGCAGCCAUGCCGCGUGUAUGAAGAAGGCCUUCGGGUUGUAAAGUACUUUCAGUGGGGAGGCGUUACCGACAGAAGAAGCACCGGCUAACUCCGUGCCAGCAGCCGCGGUAAUAC